AACGAACGCUGGCGGCAGGCUUAACACAUGCAAGUCGAGCGCCUCGCAAGAGGAGCGGCAGACGGGUGAGUAACACGUGGGAACAUACCCUUUACUACGGAACAACUCCGGGAAACUGGAGCUAAUACCGUAUGUGCCCUUUGGGGGAAAGAUUUAUCGGUAAAGGAUUGGCCCGCGUUGGAUUAGCUAGUUGGUGGGGUAAAGGCCUACCAAGGCGACGAUCCAUAGCUGGUCUGAGAGGAUGAUCAGCCACAUUGGGACUGAGACACGGCCCAAACUCCUACGGGAGGCAGCAGUGGGGAAUAUUGGACAAUGGGCGCAAGCCUGAUCCAGCCAUGCCGCGUGAGUGAUGAAGGCCUUAGGGUUGUAAAGCUCUUUCACCGAUGAAGAUAAUGACGGUAGUCGGAGAAGAAGCCCCGGCUAACUUCGUGCCAGCAGCCGCCGUAA
rnacentral:rRNA from 1 species